rnacentral:rRNA from 1 species
CGGCGUGCCUAAUACAUGCAAGUCGAGCGGAACUUAGAAAGCUUGCUUCUAAGUUUAGCGGCGGACGGGUGAGUAACACGUGGGCAACCUGCCUGUAAGACUGGGAUAACUUCGGGAAACCGGAGCUAAUACCGGAUAAUAUAAAAGAUCACAUGGUCUUUUAUUGAAAGAUGGCUUCGGCUAUCACUUAUAGAUGGGCCCGCGGCGCAUUAGCUAGUUGGUGAGGUAAUGGCUCACCAAGGCGACGAUGCGUAGCCGACCUGAGAGGGUGAUCGGCCACACUGGGACUGAGACACGGCCCAGACUCCUACGGGAGGCAGCAGUAGGGAAUCUUCCGCAAUGGACGAAAGUCUGACGGAGCAACGCCGCGUGAGCGAUGAAGGCCUUCGGGUCGUAAAGCUCUGUUGUUAGGGAAGAACAAGUAUCGUUCGAAUAGGGCGGUACCUUGACGGUACCUAACCAGAAAGCCACGGCUAACUACGUG